UACGGAGGGUGCGAGCGUUGUCCGGAAUCACUGGGCGUAAAGGGCGCGUAGGCGGCCUGAUAAGUAGGGGGUGAAAUCCUGCGGCUUAACCGCAGGGCUGCCUUCUAAACUGUCAGGCUCGAGCACAGUAGAGGCAGGUGGAAUUCCCGGUGUGGCGGUGGAAUGCGUAGAGGUCGGGAAGAACAUCAGUGGCGAAGGCGGCCUGCUGGGCUGUUGCUGACGCUGAGGCGCGACAGCGUGGGGAGCAAACAGG
rnacentral:rRNA from 1 species